rnacentral:lncRNA from 1 species
AUAGUCGCUUGUUCUCCGCCCGCGGUGGACCAGCUGCGUAACGGUUCACACACUGAUGGCGCCUGGAGGUUUGGCGAAAUACUGACAGGAUGCGACGUCAACGGGAGCGCAGGGCCAAGAUACCCUUUAUAUCAAACCGUCUAUCCUGGAGCAGAAAAAUCCUGUCUUCAUUGCUAUAGCUACAGAUUCAGAAAUGAGCAUGUAACAAAUUCAGGCCAAAGAGAGGCAAUGGAAAUCAGAGAAACACUGUUCCUGAAAGCUUCUGUCACUCAAGAAUCCAUGAAACAUUCAUGAACUUCACAUCAGAAGCCAAGCCCAGAAAAUAUGGGUUUAAGGUUUGCCUAUAUGUCCAAUACAAGAGAAAAAAGAACAUUCCACUUCUUUAGAAGGUUCUACUUUGAUCUCCUGGUGCUAUUGUGGAGGUGCAUACCCAACAGUUUGAUAAUGUAGAGGAAGUGAUAGCUUUGUCUCGUGGAAUCUGGGUCGACCUCACAGAGGAGCUGUUAUUUGUUCUGGAUAUUGAACAGUGACAAGGAUUCAGUGGGAGAGAAAGAGGCGAGGGUAAGUAACUCAAUGACACUGAGUGCAUUUUCCUGUGGAUGGGUAAUGGGGAGCUGGGCUCAGAAGCAGGCACAUUCAGGGGACAACCACUCUGCCCCAGCUGUCUGGAAGUGAUACUGGGUCAUGUGGAAUUGGAAGACAUACCACCAUAGAGGUAAAUUUAGUCCAGCUGGUUUUGCAAAGAAAUUUAUUCUGGAAAAUUUAGAGUGUUUUAGGCCAUUUAUGCAUUUCUAUUAAAAAAAACCUGAGAUUGGGUAACUUAUAAAGAAAAGAGGUUUAAUUGGCUCAUGGUUCUGCAGGCUGUAUAAGCAUGUCACUGACAUCUUUCAGCUUCUGGGGAGGCCUCAGGGAUCUUUUGACUUAUGGCGGAAGAUGAAGCAGGAACAGGCACAUCACAUGGCAAAAGCAGGAGCAAGAGACAGAGAGUGGUGGGAGGGAAGUGCCAUUUACCUUUAAAUGACCAGAUCUCAGGAGAACUCACUCACCAUCUGGAGGACAGCACCAAACCAUGAAGGAUCCACCCCCAUGAUCUAAUUGCCUCCCACCAGGCCCCACAGG